AGAUGGCAGAGUGAAUUUCUUAGCACAACAUCAGUGUUACAAUUACAUAAGUUUAACUGUAGUUAGCGACUUUCAUUUAUCCCUCUUUUUAGCAUCUUCUGGUAAACGCGUGGAUAAGAAGGAGGGGGGAAAUAAAGCUUUGACAGAUGGUACUCAGCGUUUGACUCCUGCUGAGCUCAGCAGGACCUGUGGUUUCUAAGGUUAGGGCUGUCAAAAUGGCUCUGUCUAUCAAGUGAAUAACAAAGUGUAGACUGCCUGUCUGUUUCCUAUACAAAUCUUAGAUUUCAUGUGCCAUUAUUGUCGGUCUUUCUGCUGAUUUAAUAACUUCCAAAGAGAAGAACUGAGGGUUCUGAUGCAGCCUCACUAUUUAGGAAACUACUUGGAAAGGGAAUUCUCAAGGGCUGAAAGAGGUAGGCCGAGAUCUGAUCUCUUUUUCUUUAGUUUCUUUCUAAGGUUUCACGACUUGAAAAGGAUUCAAAAGCCACCAAACGUUCACUUUUGGCUAACAGCUAAAUGUGAAGUUUUCAAAAUGAACUUGAUGUCUGCCUCUCAAAAAUGAGUCUUCAGAUGGUCAGAGAAAGUACCUGAUGCUGAAAGAUAGAAAGCUGAAUAAUGUCAUCAAAAUUUGCCUUUUGUCUUGCGUUGUUACAGCUAUUUUUCUUGGAGGUGAAUCUUGCCAGAUUGUGGCAUGACAUUCAACCCAUCAAUAAGAAGCCACUGGCCCCAGUUGGGUACUGUGAGAAUUACAGAAGAAUCUCAAACCAGACCCAGCCUCAAAGGAGCUGACAGUGGGUAAGUCAACCCUGUUGCAACCUUGUCCAUUUUGUCAUUCAAACUUAAAGGUUUGCAGGCUUCAAGUACCUAAUCUUCCACUAUUCUCUGUUUGUUGCCUUUAGCAUCUCCUCCAUCACCCCAAACCAAGUAUCAUCGUAGAAAACUGUGACAAACUAACAGACUGAAGUUUAUUCUCUCUUGCAAGAAUCUUCAGAGGUCUGGGAUUCUAGACACUCUCUCCUAAAAAUUUCCAGGAUAAAAUUCCCUUCUUGUUCUACUGCUGGUGUACUCUACAAAAGAUG
rnacentral:lncRNA from 1 species